CCAUCUCUUCGGACGUACAAGGGUUGCAUCCUGGAAUUGGUGCUGUAAAGAGAGUAAAGCAAAAUGUUAAUAUUUAAAUUAAUAAGGAAUUAAGAGAAAAAACAUAUUUAAAAAAUGUUGACUAACGAAAUCCAUGGAAUUGCAUACAAUUUCUCAAAGUACAAUUCACGUCAAUUAAAGCCAUUAUGCAACGUUCGGAUGGCAUCGACGUAUCACGAAGGAGCGUGCGAAAGAGACUAUGCUGCUGCGAUCCCGUAUAUAAACCUUUGCUGAGGACGGGGAAGCCAUUCGAGCGAAACAUCUAUUCUAAGUACUUUGCAUAACAAGUACGUUAGGUAGGAAUACGAAUGACGAGUCUCUCGUACCUUUUCGAUCCAUGCCGACUAUCCACAGUAAUUGAAAGAGAGACAGAGGGAAAGAAGAAGAAAAAGCAAUAGGUAAGAACAUACCCAACAUACCCAAGGGGGAUUUGAGAACUGUAUGAGAAAAAUGUCAAUUUUGGCUUUUUAAUAUUUUUUUGCAAUUUUAAACAUUUCAAUUA